rnacentral:rRNA from 1 species
GGAAUAUUGGGCAAUGGGGGAAACCCUGACCCAGCAACGCCGCGUGAGUGAAGAAGGCUUUCGGGUUGUAAAGCUCUGUUAUAGGGGACGAAGGAGUGACGGUACCCUAUAAGGAAGCCCCGGCUAACUACGUGCCAGCAGCCGCGGUAAUACGUAGGGGGCGAGCGUUGUCCGGAAUGAUUGGGCGUAAAGGGCGCGUAGGCGGCCCGGUAAGACUGAAGUGAAAGUCCUGGUUUUAAGUUGGGAAUUGCUUUGGAUACUGUCGGGCUUGAGUGCAGGAGAGGUAAGUGGAAUUCCCAGUGUAGCGGUGAAAUGCGUAGAGAUUGGGAGAAACACCAGUGGCGAAGGCGACUUACUGGACUGUAACUGACGCUGAGGCGCGAAAGUGUGGGGAGCAAACA